AUUAUCAAUACACUUAAAAACGUUGAGUUAGAUGCUGCGAUCAGGGUUUACAAGAAAAGUUAUUAAUCAUCCAAAAUCGUGUCGUGCCAUAAACGAUAAAGUUGUAUCAAAUUGAAAAACUAGAAAUCAUAAAAUGUAUAGUGAAACCUCAUAUCUUUGUUCUUAAUGGAAAAAAAUGUCUGUUGUAGUGCGAAAGAGAGAGAAAAAAAAUUAAAUUAUUUCGUUCAAAGCUAUUUCUAAAAAAUAUGCAAUGUAUAUCGAAAAAUUUUCACCGAAUCGUACACACAUUUGACAUUAUUACAAAUUUCGUUGCAGUUGUCUGUCCAGAGGAAAUUUCCUUUGUAUUGAAUUACCGAGGUACGCAGAACAUGGUGAUUCGGAACCACUUCUUCGUUCGCAACAAAAUUUCCCAACGGUAUCUUUUCUGGAACUGUGCCCAGAAGAAAGCUCUAGGCUGUCGCGUUCGAGCUACAAUGCCACGCCCACCCAACAAAGGACCUGUCAUAUGCCGAGGGGAACACAAUCCCGAAGUGGUUUCCGAACGACGAAAGCAUGGCGCUCUCAGAGAAUUACUGAACAAACGAAAGCAAGAUAAAGAUCAGUCGAGGGCAAAGAGAUGCAGAAAAUAGAGAAUAAAUAAAAUUGAGUUGAAAGUGCUUAUAUUAUGUCUCUCUAGAUUUAAAUAUCUUAAUUUUUCAUAUAGGAGAUUCAUUAUGUAUUGAUGUAUUACAGAUAACUAUAUCAGCGAUAAUGCAUCCGAAAUGGAUAUAUGCUACAUGGUGACAGCUCGUGGAAAAACUCAGCUGGUUGUGGAAGGAUAUCCGUUUACCAAACUCAACGAACGGGCUCAUAUGACGUUCUGGGCGUGCUGUCAAGCUAGACCCUUGAAUUGCAAAGCCCGGGCCACAACAUAUCGCGCUUCGAGGGAUGGAAAAAUCACGUUCAGAGGAGAGCAUAACCAUGGCAAAAUCCAUGAACGGCGCAAAGCGGGUGCGCUCAGAAAACUACUCGAGCAACGUGACAAAGAAAAAGCUCGUCAAAAAAUGUUGAAGUCAGUGGGGAUUGUCUAUGAAUAAAUGAGCCACAUGAAAUGAUGCUAUUUUUGUCUAUCGUGAAGUAAAAAUGGCAUCAUUGCUUGAUUCUAAAUGUCAUAAGUAAUGUUGCCAAAUAUUCAAAUCUGAUUUGAAUGCUGAACAAUAAAUGAAAACUAUCAUUUAGAUCGGAUCAACGUCCUAACUCAUUGUUUUUGUGUGAAUAUUUUCAGGCGAUCUACUACAAUCAGUGGAAGACUAUAGUCAAGUUCAAACCGAAUUUGAAAUGCCACAUCCGGAGAUGGCUGGAGUGUCUGUACUGUAUAAGCGUAAUCCAGUCGAAAUAAUAGGCGACGAAAAACAUGCUAUAGACCCCAGCAAAGACGUCAGCUUCGUAUUGCAAGGCAACCGUCGCAAACUGUAUGUCAAAGACCACUGCUACUACCGGAAACACACUUUGAAAAAUCACACACAGUGGCGUUGCACUGAAUACAGAGCCUACGGGUGCCUAGCUUCGGUGAAGGUCUCGCGAAACGGAUUACAAAUGACUCUCCAAGGAGUGCACGACCAUCCCUUCAAGAAGGAGCAUCGUCGAGAAGGCCAGCUGAGAGAACUUAUGGAAAAACGAAAGCAAACGGUUAACGAACGAAAGCAACAGCGCCGAAAGUAAACUUGUAACAACAUUGAAUCAAAUAUACUUACCCUUUUGAAUAAUUUUAAUCUUGUUUGAAUGUUUCUGCGUGUAGCUUUUUGAUCUGCAAGUGCUGCCAUCAUUCACUGUUGGUUCAAUUUCAGAGCUGCCGAAGUCGUUUUUCGUUUUGAGUGGCCGAGGAAAUCUCCAACUGUCGAUCGACGGAUACGUGUUCACGCAAGAGCUGGUCAAGAACAACGACAUAGAUUGGGCUUGUUCGCAAUCAAAAGUUUUGCGCUGUAAAGUUCGCGCGACGACAUCUCGUGGGAAAGAUCGCAAGGUGCUCUCAAUUCGAGGCGAACACAAUCACGGGAUAAUUACUGAACGUCGGAAAAGCGGUGCCUUGAAGGCUCUGCUGGAACAACGCAAGAAAGAGCGCGAUGAACGACGAAUGAGAUUGGGUGGAGUCUUUUCACCAGCAGUCUAGAAAAAUAUGUUUGAUUAACAGUGCGAGAAUAUUAUGAACUUUAUAAUCUGAUUUCAGUAAUAGAUUUGUUGGUGGUUUCACCUCUCCUUAACUAUUUUGACAAUCUCAAUAAACAAUUUGUCAUUUUAAAUGAGCGUGAAAAGGUUACCAAAGAGUUGCGACGAAAAUGAUUUAGUAUUGUGCAACUGGUAGUAAAUCCUUUGAAAAUGUCAAGACUAAUACAAUUGAUUGAUUGUUGUACUAGAAUACGUUUGCAUUAUUUUCGUUUUUCAGUGUUUUACACGGAUGAACUAAUCUUCAAUGCGCUAUUUGUAUGCGAUCUGCAUUCUAGGGAUGGUGACGUACACUACAAGCCGUCGAGGUCGUCGACAGAUCUGCUACUUCGGACACUCAUUCGAGAUGGAAAAGGAACGGAAAGGGUCCACUAGCUGGCGGUGCGGUCAGGCAAAGCCUCUUAAAUGCAAGGCCAGAAUUAUCGAGCGCAUUUCAAAGUACGGCGACCCAAUGUAUGAAAUUGUGCGUUCGACGCAUAAUCACGACAUUAUAACUGAGAGGAGGCCACGAGGGUGGUUGAAAGAUUAUAAUGAGCUAUCAAUAAUGAAAAAAGAAGAACAAUAAAUUCACAGUUCCUUGGCAUGUAAUCUAGUACUACUUUUUGGAAUUAAAUUGUUACAAUGGACUCAAGUAGUACAUCACUACAAACCUAUUUUGGCGAGUAAUCUAGUACAACCCAUCUACAUAAUUUAGAACUAUUUCGGCUGGCUAUAAAGACCUGAAAUUACAAUCUAGUACAACUAUACAGCUCAAUGUAUAUUCCAAUAGCAACAAAAUAAUCAACUUUUGUACUAUUAUAGGACACUGUUACGGUUCGGCGGAGUACUCAAUCAGCCUCAAAGGCUCCCUGCAGUUGAUGGUGCAGGGAUUUCCGUACACUCGCCAUAGCUGCAAGGGCGGCAAGGUCUACUGGCGGUACGUGCAGUUCAAGUCACUUGGUUGUCGGUCUAGGGUUCGUACUCACCAGGAGCUGAUCGAGUCGAUAGAGCACGAACACAAUCACGAUCGAAUGUUGGCCAGGCGUAAACGAGGAGCUUUGAAGCAGUUGAUGCAAGAGAGGAAGCGCGAGAAAUCUCUUGUUGCACUGGAUCAGUGUGACUUGGUUGAACUUGACUGGGUUGAAUAAAAGUUUCUGUUGCUAGAUGACCUUGCUGGAUUGUUAAUGUCAAUAAUAACUCUGAAAAAAAAGUGUGACUGCAGAAUGUGAUUGAGUUUUGUCUUUCAGAACCCGUCUCAUUGAUACAGGUGAUAGCUGUAGUACCAGACGAAGCGGAACCUCAUCCCUAUAGCUAUAACUAUCGUGGAAAUCUUGUGUAUGAUAAAUACACCUUUUCCAAAACGGCGGCUCACGGGACGGGCAACAUUGUCUACUGGAGGUGCACGGGCUAUCGUAAGCAUAAGUGUAGAGCUACAUUGAAAACGCGAGGCAAGGAGUUGAUCGUGGUUCGCCAGGACCAUAACCAUGAGCCCUUCGUGAAGGGAAGCGUUUUCACUUCCGAUUUGCCAAUUUGGAAGGAAACAACGGGAUCUAACGCUCCUUGAAAUUUACCGUUUGACUUUUUGCUAUGAGGCCACAUUGGAAUUUACCUAAUAAUAAUUACAAGAACAAUACAUUACAUUUUUGCAAACAAUAAUCUUCAUUGUUUUUGUACCAUACCAUUAAUAUAAUCUUGCGUUCUAGUACUACACAACUUCAUACUAACGUUACAUUUGUAUUCCUCCAGGGAAACUUCUGUCGAUUUCGACAAUGCCGCUCAUAUUGAAAAAGAUCAAAGUCAAGCGUACAAAACCGCCAUCUCCGUUGAAAUCAGUCCCCGCAAUGAAUGCCCCAUCUGAACGUCCGACCGUGGUAAGCGCCGAUCCGGAUCAACUACUAAGGCUGGACAACAGUACAAUUUCCAAAGACAAUAUCGUCAAGCAGCUAUCGAACGGCCAUGCUCUAGUACUGCUGAAGAGGACACGCGUCAAAGGUUUUUGUGUGAGCUGUAUUCGUUCCAUGCAGGAUCCGGAGUACAAGAAGAAGUUGAGCAAAAUUAUUACCUACUGCUCGGGAUGCCCCGGUGGGCAGUGGAUCUGUGAAGCGUGCUUUGAUUCCAGUCACGAUAUAAAGAACUAAAUGAAUAAAAAUUUAGAUUAUCUAGCUACUAUUGAUUGUUAUUUCUUAUUCUUAUUAUUGUUUAUCAAUACUUUUCAAACUAACAGAAUUCCGAUCAUUUUCAGGUAAAGCUCUGUUCCAGAUCGGCAACCGAAACUCGCUGAAGCUUUUCUACAGCGGACACUUCUACACAAGGUCCUACACGGCGGAAAAAUCAAGCAAGUGGGUCUGCGACAGGAAAAACAUGCUCAAAUGCAAAGCUCGAAUACGCCUGAACCGAGACAAAACUUGUGACGUGCUGAACGCCAAUCACAACCAUCCGGCUCGAAACCCUAGAACUAUCGGAAUGCUGAUCGAUUUCACCGAUCGAGAUUUGAGCACCAUGCUCCAGAAGGAUACCGUCAAAGAAUCUCCCAAUCCCAAUCGUUGCGGAAUAACUAAAAUGAAAAUAUAAUGAAUGAAUCAACCAACAUUUUUAACUGUCCACAUUCUAUUACUUCAUCUCACGAAUCGUAGCAUGACACUUCACUAAAACCUCUCCUUGACUUUUUGUUCCAGUGCACAAGAUCAUGAAACUACAGAAACGACUCUACUACCUCAAAAAGGUGUCCGGAGAGUUUGUUCAACACGGAGAAAAUCCAGUUUCUUCGCAGAUUGAGUACUUGCAACGCGAUCUGGAUGUGCUUACGGGGACUCUACCGAAAAUGGAGAACGCUCCAGCAUGUAAGCCAUCUUCCGUUCCGGGAUUCGACUUCCCUCUGACCGAGCAGGAGGAAAUUGAACGCUUGGAGACGGAGGUACGAAACGAUCCGUAUGUCCGGUGCCAAUAUGUGAACUAUCUUAUCAACAAAAAGCCAGCGCCGAUGAAUCUAAUACAGUUCCUACCACUGGUGUUUUCCGAUGAGGCCCUUAUUGCCUACAACUAUCAUGGUUCGCAUGCUUCCGGAAAAUCUAAGCAUUCGAUGAAGGCGUACACCAUUUUUUCGGAAUGCUUUUUGGAGGCUUUCGAAGGAGAAGGAUUGGAUAUGGACACAUUGACCAAGCAGCUGGUAAUGGCCAUCAAACAGAGCCGGAACCGUAUGCGGCAACGUACAUUCCGAGCGAAGAAAACGCUACAACGAAUCAGCAGCGACAAGGGUUCUGAGUGAUUAGUGUGGAAUGCGAUGUUCUUGCUUUCUGAAUUUGAAUAAAGAUACGAAAAAGUGAA